GAUGAACGCUAGCGGCAGGCCUAAUACAUGCAAGUCGAACGGUGUCUUCGGACAUAGUGGCGCACGGGUGCGUAACACGUAUGCAACCUACCUUACAUUGGGGGAUAGCCUUUCGAAAGGGAGAUUAAUACCGCAUAAGACAGUAGCUGGGCAUCCAGUAGCUGUUAAAGAUUUAUCGAUGUAAGCUGGGCAUGCGUCCAAUUAGUUAGUUGGUGAGGUAACGGCUCACCAAGACGAUGAUUGGUAGGGGAACUGAGAGGUCAAUCCCCCACACUGGAACUGAGAUACGGGCCAGACUCCUACGGGAGGCAGCAGUAGGGAAUAUUGGGCAAUGGACGCAAGUCUGACCCAGCAAUGCCGCGUGCAGGAAGAAGGCGUUCUGCGUUGUAAACUGCUUUUAUAUAGGAAGAAACGACCCUUGCGAGGGGCAUUGACGGUAUUAUAUGAAUAAGCACCGGCUAACUCCGUGCCAGCCGCCGCGGUAAAAC
rnacentral:rRNA from 1 species